CUGCAACUCGCCUGCAUGAAGCUGGAAUUGCUAGUAAUCGCGGAUCAGCAAGCCGCGGUGAAUACGUUCCCGGGCCUUGUACACACCGCCCGUCACACCAUGAGAGUCGGGAACACCCGAAGUCCGUAGUCUAACCGCAAGGGGGGCGCGGCCGAAGGUGGGUCCGGUAAUUGGGUGAAGUCGUAACAAGGUAUC
rnacentral:rRNA from 1 species